UCCUGCUUAACACAGGCAGUCUCCUUAGAGUGCCCAACUAAAUGAUGGCAACUAAGAAUAAGGGUUGCGCUCGUUAAGGGACUUAACCCGACAUCUCACGAUACGAGCUGACGACAGCCAUGCAGCACCUGUCUCCCGGCCUCCGAAGAGGAACCCCUAUCUCUAGGGGGUGCCGGGGAUUUCAAACCCAGGUAAGGUUCUUCGCGUUGCAUCGAAUUAAACCACAUGCUCCACCGCUUGUGCGGGCCCCCGUCAAUUCCUUUGAGUUUUAAUCUUGCGACCGUACUUCCCAGGCGGAGUACUUAAUGCGUUAGCUUCGACACUGUAGGGGUCAAUACCUACAACAUCUAGUACUCAUCGUUUACGGCGUGGACUAC
rnacentral:misc_RNA from 1 species